UGGGGAAUCUUGCGCAAUGGGCGAAAGCCUGACGCAGCAACGCCGCGUGCGGGAUGAAGGCUUUCGGGUUGUAAACCGCUGUCAGUGGGGAGGAAAUUGAUGAGGGUACUCUCUCAUCAUUGACCUAUCCGCAGAGGAAGCAAGGGCUAAGUUCGUGCCAGCAGCCGCGGCAAGACGAACCUUGCUCACGUUAUUCGGAAUUACUGGGCUUAAAGGGUGCGUAGGCGGUGCAGAAGGUCGGGUGUGAAC
rnacentral:rRNA from 1 species